GGAUUGUGGCUCAGUGGUAGAGCGCUCUCCUACCACGUGCAAAGCCCUGAGUUCAAUCCUCAGCACCA
rnacentral:tRNA from 1 species